GAACUCAUCACCAGCCACACUGUCUCCAGUAUGACAGGCCAACAUACAGGCUGGAACACAUCAAUACCAAGUCCCAUUUCUGAGGUUAUGCUUCCAACAGUGCAGUGUCCUGAAGAACACUGAAGGCAGACACUAAUAAAUUUAAGAGAAUAAAUAAAGCUUCCACCAGCUUCAAAGCCACAA